rnacentral:miRNA from 1 species
UGAUGUCUGUCAAAAUCAUAU